CACAUACUUUAUCUUUUACGUAGUUCCAUAACAAGGAAAAAAAAAAUCACGUACCGCGAUGCGGUCCGGGAGAAUAUUGACUCGAUUGCCCGGUCUCUCCAAUACAUGGGCCGCAGUGGUGGAUCUGGAACUCGUAAUAAUAUAAGGGAGAAGCGUGAACUCGUAACACAAAACCGAAAUCGAAAACAAAUUUCUGAGAGGAG